AAUUCGUCAAUGCCUUGGAAUGUCAUAAAGAUCCUGAAGCUGGGAGAUGAGUUUACAUUUUUCAUCUGGCUUUCUUUUGCUGCAACCACGCCUGUUCUAG
rnacentral:sRNA from 1 species